CACGUAGGGCGCAAGCGUUGUCCGGAAUUAUUGGGCGUAAAGAGCUCGUAGGCGGUGUGUCGCGUCGGCCGUGAAAACCUGGGGCUUAACUCUGGGCGUGCGGUCGAUACGGGCAUCACUGGAGUUCGGCAGGGGAGACUGGAAUUCCUGGUGUAGCGGUGAAAUGCGCAGAUAUCAGGAGGAACACCGGUGGCGAAGGCGGGUCUCUGGGCCGAUACUGACGCUGAGGAGCGAAAGCGUGGGGAGCGAACAGG
rnacentral:rRNA from 1 species